rnacentral:pre_miRNA from 1 species
AAUGUUUGACGCCGUUGAUUUUUUUAAACAUGUUUGACCGUUCGUCUUAUUAAAAAAAUUAAGCAAUUAUUAAUUCUUUUCUUACCAUUUAAUUCAUUGUUAAAUAUACUUUUAUUAUACAUAUAGUUUUACAUAUUUCACAAAAGUUUUUAAAUAAGACGAACGGUCAAACAUGUUUAAAAAAAUCAACGGCGUCAAACAUU